ACCAGAGAUGGCACAGGAGCAGUUGAGUAGAAUCAUCAUUGAAAGAUGGGCUGUACAUCUCUGAUCUGGGGAAAAUAAUAAUAAUUUUUUUUAAAAAAAAAGAUCGGCUGAACAUGGAAGAGGUUUACCCGUCAAACAAAAUUAUUUACUUCUACUUUUUGUUCAGUGACAAUACGAUUAAUCGUACUAAUAACAAAUAUGCAAAUGUUUCAUAUAAAAGUACAUAUUCUAGCAAACAUUACUAAACAGAAACCAAAUUCCAUCAGAACUUGGGGAAAAGGGCAAAAAAUAAAUAAAUUUUUAAAAGAAAGAAAUCAAAUUCCAAAAAUGUGAAUUUUAAUGGAAUAUUGUUCCCCUAAAUAGGAAACUAUGUGGUACUUAAAAGGUUUUAUCCUCAGGAUGCCUUCUAAUAAUCCUUUGUGUUUAUUCAUUAUAAUCACCACCUAAAAAUUAGUAGCAGUAUACCAGCUUUAUUAAAGAUGUAUAGCACCAAA
rnacentral:lncRNA from 1 species